rnacentral:rRNA from 1 species
AUUGAACGCUGGCGGCAUGCCUUACACAUGCAAGUCGAACGGCAGCACGGGUGCUUGCACCUGGUGGCGAGUGGCGAACGGGUGAGUAAUACAUCGGAACGUACCUUAUCGUGGGGGAUAACGCAGCGAAAGCUGUGCUAAUACCGCAUACGCCCUGAGGGGGAAAGCGGGGGAUCGCAAGACCUCGCGCGAUUAGAGCGGCCGAUGCCUGAUUAGCUUGUUGGGGGGGUAAAAGCCCACCAAGGCGACGAUCAGAAGCUGGUCUGAGAGGACGAGCAGCCACACGGGGACUGAGACACGGCCCAGACUCCUACGGGAGGCAGCAGUGGGGAAUUUUGGACAAGGGGGGCAACCCUGAUCCAGCAAUGCCGGGUGAGUGAAGAAGGCCUUCGGGUUGUAAAGCUCUUUUGUCAGGGAAGAAACACCGGCUCUAACACAGUCCGGGAAUGACGGUACCUGAAGAAUAAGCACCGGCUAACUACGUGCCAGCAGCCGCCGUAA